GUACCUACGGGGGGCAGCAGUGGGGAAUAUUGCACAAUGGGCGAAAGCCUGAUGCAGCGACGCCGCGUGAAGGAUGAAGUAUUUCGGUAUGUAAACUUCUAUCAGCAGGGAAGAAAAUGACGGUACCUGACUAAGAAGCCCCGGCUAACUACGUGCCAGCAGCCGCGGUAAUACGGAGGAUGCGAGCGUUAUCCGGAUUUAUUGGGUUUAAAGGGUGCGCAGGCGGCCUGUUAAGUCAGCGGUAAAAGCCCGGGGCUCAACCCCGGCGAGCCGUUGAACCUGGCGGGCUGGUGUUGGAGAGAAGU
rnacentral:rRNA from 1 species